GCACUGGACUCAACUGAAGAGCUCAGAUGCAGUCAAAGUUUGUCAUAGCAAAGAAGCCAGACUAAAUAACAGAAAUGUACCAUUUGGCAAAAUCCUUCAGCUGUUCAUAAAAGUCAGACACAAUACUUAAUGUUUUGAUCAGAAACUCUGCUUAUGCCUUUGACUUGGCAUCCUUUAUGACCUUUAAAUUGCAUUUUAAUGCAUUUCAAUUACGGAGGCAGGACAACUACCUGGGCAGAUGGACCAAGGUCAUUACCAAUUUACUAACACUUCUACUUUUGCUGAAGCUGCUCUAUUUUCUAUGGCUUUAGAAUAAAAUACUAUUUUUUAUUCUUCUGAAAGUGAUUUAGCUUAAUUUUAGGUUGGACUGGAUGAGCUUGGAGGUCUCUUCCAACCUGGCUGAUUCUAUGAAAUGAUCAGUUUGUAAUCUGCUGCUACUACAAUCCGGAGUGGCUUCUACCUGGACUCAGGAGAUUUCUGUAAUGCUGACCAAAGCUCUCUCCCUUUGAAGAAUCUAGUGACAAAGCUGCAGGAAGACAUACUCGAACAUAACAUGCACAAGGAGGUUGCAACAGGAACCCACUGAAAAGUACUGGAUUCAACACAAGUUCCGUGUUGGGAAAACCGCCAAGUUAACCUGCUGGUUCAGUCGGACAUGUCUUGUUCUGAAUCAAACCACCACACCACGGAAGGGAGCUGUGCAGAAGCACUUCUAGCAGAACUGCAAUCCAUGAGAAAGACUCACAAUUG